AAAAAAAAUGUUAAAUAAUGUGAUGUUAAGUCAAUUGUGUGAGGUUAUGUUUAUAAAUUAUAAUAAAUAUUUUACUUACCGCCAAAGAUGAAUUGAAGUGUCACUGUGUACAAAAGGUGCCUGCUUCACGAUUUUAAUGGUCUUGAAAGAGAUCACUGAGCACGUACACUAUUCGUCCAAUAAGACGACCUCCGGAAAGACGACCUGCUCAACAUAACGAUGGGUGAGCGCUCAAUGAAACGACGGCGGAAGCCGUACCUCUAUCUCCUCCACUUUCUUCUCUGCAAUACACACGAUCUAAUGUUUCACUAAGCACUCAAUAUUGGUGAGCUGUACUGUCCGCAUAGAAUAGUCUACAACAAUGAUGAAGAACGUCCCAUACAACGACGUCCAAUACUCAUUUAUCCACAUAUAUUAUUUCGCGAAUUUUUAGAUAAACGUCUUUCAGGUACUAUGCAGGUUUUCAUUAGACAGAAGGUCAGCAUUAGGUCAGCGUUUUCGAUUUUCCGACCACUGUGCGCCGCCACAACUGUAACUUCGAAACUAUUCACUGAAUCUUAUAGAAGUUUUUCAGAAAUAAAGGGCUCAUUUAAGGCUGUUGAUCUCCGGUAGGCCGAAUUCCGCAGUCCGUUUAGUUUUUUCUUUAACAUUGCGCUCUCUGGUUUCACAUGUGAAGCUAGCACCGCCACACACAUAACCUUAAAACCAGAGCUGCAAUCAAUCCGAGAAUGUUAUAAAAUGGUCUAAAACACCUAAAAAGGAAAAGGUCAAUCGAAAUUUUUUAAAGUGUUUAUUAAAAAAACUGUGCUAGUUAGCGAUCAAAUUUCAAAGUUCUCUAGACGAAACUUUCAAAUACUCAUUAAAAAUUAUAUUUUGUUUUAUUUAAAAAAGUCGUGAAAUGGUCUAAAACGCGAAGAAAUG